rnacentral:rRNA from 1 species
AGCGAACGCUGGCGGCGUGCCUAACACAUGCAAGUCGAACGGUUCUGUUGGGGGCUUGCUCUCGACAGAGUAGUGGCAAACGGGUGAGUAACACGUGGGUAAUCUUCCUUCGAGUGAGGAAUAACUUCGGGAAACCGGAGCUAAUACCGCAUAACAUCUUGGGACGGCAGUUCCAAGAUCAAAGGGGGCGCAAGCUCCCGCUUGAAGUUGAGCUCGCGUCCUAUCAGCUAGUUGGUGAGGUAAUGGCUCACCAAGGCUCCGACGGGUAGCCGGCCUGAGAGGGUGCCGGCCACACUGGGACUGAGACACGGCCCAGACUCCUACGGGAGGCAGCAGUGGGGAAUAUUGCGCAAUGGACGAAAGUCUGACGCAGCGACGCCGCGUGGGUGAUGAAGGCCUUCGGGUCGUAAAGCCCUGUUGAGGGAGAGAAAGUCUACUGUCGGUUAAUACCCGGCAGUGGUGAUAGUAUCCCUAGAGAAAGCACCGGCUAACUACGUGCC